rnacentral:lncRNA from 1 species
UGCACAUUUAAGUUAUGUAUUACAUGUCUUUAGUGGUGAUCACUAUUUUAUCAGUUCCUCUGUCUUUCUUUAUACCAAGUAUGACUCAUAAACCCAGUAUUAAUUUUCCAAGAGAUUGGCAUACUAUUUGUAUAUACGCUUUUCUUUCAAAUAAUCUGGAUUCCCAAUGCCCACAAUCAUUGAUCCUAAAGAAAAUGUGGGAGUAGGUAGAUAAACUCAAACAUCCCUACCAUCACCCCUGGUAGGAAAUCACUGGUGUAAUGUAUGAUACUAACAUCUGCACCAAUUACUCUUAUAGGUGGAACAAUCCAAAGUUUUAAUCAAAGAAGGUGGUAUUCAGUUGCUGCUUACAAUAGUUGAUACCCCAGGAUUUGGAGAUGCAGUGGAUAAUAGUAAUUGCUGGCAGCCUGUUAUCAAUUACAUUGAUAGUAAAUUUGAGGACUACCUAAAUGCAGAAUCGCAAGUGAACAGAUGUCAGAUGCCUGGUAACAGGGUGCACUGUUGUUUAUACUUCAUUGCUCCUUCAGGACAUGGGUCAGUAACCUGAUACUUCUGAUUCCUUUUUGUUGUUGUUGCUUACUGUUACCUUUAUG